AGCUACAUUUAUUUUUAAGUUUAUCUAAUUUUCGUUGUAGGUGAUUAAUUUGAUUAAUUUCACUGAUGCGACUGAACAACAAGACAUUUAAAUUCUUAUUUAAAAAGAAUUUCGGCAUCAAACUUUUACAGAUAAUGAGCGAGAAUAAAUGUGCCAAAUUUAGAAUCGUCUCACCCAAAGUGAUGGAUCCAGAUAUCAGCAAAGAGCGAAUGAAACCAUCGGGUCUGAGGAAGCAGUCUUCUGCUCUCCCAAACCAAUAAAAGAUGAAGGGAUUCUGAGGAAAUCAGGAGGAAAAAUCCACAUCAGCUGCAUUUGUCAUGAGUUUAAUCCUCUUCGUGGCGCGCAGGUGAUCAUCGGACUGACAGUGAGAUCAGAUGAUGAGGAUCAAGAGGAGGACGAAUCGAAGAUGAAGAUUAGGCAUCAGUUAAACGUGUGUUUUCUCGUGAUUGUGUGUGUUCUGUAGCAGGUGCAGUAUCUCCAUCAUCGGCGGAUCGCGGAGCAUCUCCCGCACCUUCAGCCCGCAGUGCGCCUCACACCAGCGGCUCAGACACACAGCAGAACACCGCCGGACUCCGCUGGAGCUCCCUACAGCAGAGAGAGAGAGAGAGAGAGAGAGAGAGUCACUGCAGACGCGCACUGCCGCCCAAUGGAGAAGAUCUUCUGAUUCCAGCAGCCAUAAUGCAGGGUACACUAACAAACUCGCGCAGAUGUGAGAUUUCCAAGGACUCUCACGAGUCUGCUGUGAUGGUUGAUGGCUGGACUGGGAUGUUCCUGGUGUGUGUGGAACGUGAGGCUCAUGAAUGGCUCUUGUUAGAUUCCUCCAGGACGCCGCUGGCCUCUGAGGCCCCUUCUGUGAUGGGAAUUUCGAUGAAGGGCUUCGACACCGAAGAAAAGAGCCCUCAGAGCCUGAGUGGGCCCUCUGUCCUCUCCGUGUCAGAGCCACGGGACAAACGUGACUCCGUAAUAAAUGAAAAGACGGACAAACGCGGCUUUGAUUGCAGCCAAAUUAAUCGGUUCCAUCAUCUAGAAUCGUAAACAUCCACAGAAAAACCAGACAGACAGGAUGCGCUGGAGUGGAGUUCAAAACCAGGAGUUCGCUCGGGUUUUAAUUUGAGCAAAGUAAAAACUAAAAAGAAAAAAAAUCUAAAGUAUUAUAAAAAUGCACCAUAUUUUGCAUACUACAUACAUAAAAAAAAAAGAGUAAACAGAUGAAUUGGGGGGCUUUUUAAUAGAGAUGAAUGGCAAAAGUGCCCCGAUCUUCCUACUGCUGAAGUACAUUCACAAAUGUUUUCUUUUGAGAUGUGUUUGUGAUAUUUUGAAUGCAGUGCUUCAUUUUGCAAGAGAUGAGAGGCAUUUUACAUUUUGUGUGCAAUUCUUGGAUUUGUGUGUAAAGUUUUGAAAAAAAGAGUCAAAGUUUUGAAAAUGUGUGGAAGCUGUUAAAAAAAAAAACUAAGCAUUGUUUUUACCACAAAUAAAGACAAAAAAAUAUGGUUACUAUGGUAACCA
ensembl:lncRNA